rnacentral:rRNA from 1 species
CGAACGAAAAGGGAGAAGCCCAGCGCAUAACCUCUCGGGCCACCAGGCCUGCAGCGGAAUUUUGCGUAAAGGGAAUGAUCACGCACACGCUCGCAAGGGUGUGUGUGCCCAAUGUCACAUAGCAUUCGACCUAAGUCCAGUGGUGAAACUCUGCCGAACCUUUGUUGGUUCUACAUCUCCAUGGAGGGUGAAAGACCCGUGUGGCGAAUGCACAGUGUCUGGGUUUGAUCGUUUCCCUGAGAGUCGCGUUGCUUGAGCAUGCAGCGCUAAGCAGGACGUAGACUCGUCCUAAGGCUAAAUAUUUCCACAGAACCGAUAGCGAACAAGUACCGUGAGGGAAAGUUGAAAAGAACUCUGAAGAGAGAGUUAAAAGACCGUGAAACCGUUCAGGGUAGAGACUGAUGGAUUUGGCUUUCCGGUGACGGCAAAGAGAUGAAUAAAGACGCUGCCAUGAGUUGCCGUCUCCAGUGUGUGCAGGAGAUAAAUGGAAGACAGUGGGUCUGUGGUCAGUGAAGCGGACGUUUGACAUAGCGUGUGACGGUUGUAACACACUGGGGCCAAACGGACGGGGUUUUGGCGUCGAUGAUGAGUGAGAACCUGUAUUGCCUCGCGCUGCAGUCUAUUGCUUUGAUGGCGGCCUUGAGUUCGCACUCACUUUGAGAUCUCCUGCACCGUAGCCAUCGGAAUGCACCAACACUUUACGAGGUCAGGGUGCCGUUGCAUUCA